CUGUUUUCCAUUAGCACAGACAUUCCUCCUUUAUCUGCCUCCAUUUUGUGUGUGCUCCAAUGUAGGCUAGCUUUUAAGGCUCCAGUGAGUGGUCUGUUCGUUCAGUAGUAACUAUGCCUGGCUACAUCCUAUAGAAAUAUAACCCCAAGGCUAUAUGAGUUGUGAAACCUGAUCCAUUGUUUUUGUAGUGUGUACUUGGUCAUUCUGUCUUUGUUUUUUCCCAGAUCCCAGCUACUACAGACAGUUUGUGGUACAGCUCGGCUGAGGGUCAAGAGCUGGUCCAUGUUCUUCAGAGACUGAGUCAUUCUGCCAGGUCCCAUGCUGAUGUUGCUGUGGUUUCACUGGCAGUGGAGAUCCUGACAGGGAUUGGAUUCUAGAAUGUUGAUUCAUCAGCAACAAUGGAUUGGCUUCGAGAAGGACCAUAAUUCACAUCAGUGAUCAGCAACCUAAACCGUGUCUCCAUUAUGGUGCCUUGCUCUAUAGCUUUAUAAUAAAACUGGCAUCCAUUGUGGUUUUGCGUUCCAUUCUAAUAUCACUUUACAAUACUUUAGUUUUUUUUUAAAGGAUGUACAAACAAAGGACACAUUUGCCCCCCAUGUAGCCUAAGGACCUGAAAACGAGUCAGUUCCAUAAACCACCAAGACAGAGCUGAAAUUAAGGUCCAUUUUUAUUGUUUAGCCAUGUCAUGACCAUGUCUCCAAUAAGCACAGCAGGCUACAAUAAUUAGGGAUUCUUCUCACCUCCUUGAACAGCUAUCAACUAAAAGACAUUAAAAAAAGAAACUGCUGCCCCCCCACAGACCCUUUGGAACAGUUGUGACACUACAAACAGUGCACACUUAAAGCAAGAAAAUAUUUGGACCAUUUCCAAUUCUUGGUUUUAUACAAAAGCUACACAAUGUUACACUUGAUCAGAAUACAAUUCAACUGAUUAUUAGUGUUCUACACCAUAUCAUUUUAAUUGGAGCAUUACCACUAUAACUUAUCACUACGAGAGACUUAAAAUGGAUACAAAUGAGUGCAGAAAAGACAGGAGAGUAUAAUAACAAGCUAUAUCAGUACCAUUACAGACUGAAGAAUCAUACAAAAUAAAAUGUAAAAAAAUACAGACCAGGGUUUUAAAUUCCAUCUUUAGAUCCACUCUUCAGCGUCAUUCUUUGAGUAACCCACUCCAGGAAUUCCUUUAACGCAGUUUUAACUCCCACAAAAGACCAGAACAAAGUUUUACUUCCACUCCACGUGUUCCCAUAGGAAACUCAGCUUUCAGUAGUGUGUCAGGCACUUUCUGAGAUACUAGCCCACUUUCAAAAACCUCCCAGCAACUUUCCAGCCAAAUCACAAUGCAGGUUCAUUCAGAUCAGACGAUACACCU